UUAAGCGACUAAGCGUACACGGUGGAUGCCCUGGCAGUCAGAGGCGAUGAAGGACGUGCUAAUCUGCGAUAAGCGUCGGUAAGGUGAUAUGAACCGUUAUAACCGGCGAUUUCCGAAUGGGGAAACCCAGUGUGAUUCGUCACACUAUCAUUAACUGAAUCCAUAGGUUAAUGAGGCGAACCGGGGGAACUGAAACAUCUAAGUACCCCGAGGAAAAGAAAUCAACCGAGAUUCCCCCAGUAGCGGCGAGCGAACGGGGAGGAGCCCAGAGCCUGAAUCAGUGUGUGUGUUAGUGGAAGCGUCUGGAAAGGCGCGCGAUACAGGGUGACAGCCCCGUACACAAAAAUGCACAUACUGUGAGCUCGAUGAGUAGGGCGGGACACGUGGUAUCCUGUCUGAAUAUGGGGGGACCAUCCUCCAAGGCUAAAUACUCCUGACUGACCGAUAGUGAACCAGUACCGUGAGGGAAAGGCGAAAAGAACCCCGGCGAGGGGAGUGAAAAAGAACCUGAAACCGUGUACGUACAAGCAGUGGGAGCCUCUUUUAUGGGGUGACUGCGUACCUUUUGUAUAAUGGGUCAGCGACUUAUAUUCUGUAGCAAGGUUAACCGAAUAGGGGAGCCGAAGGGAAACCGAGUCUUAACCGGGCGUUAAGUUGCAGGGUAUAGACCCGAAACCCGGUGAUCUAGCCAUGGGCAGGUUGAAGGUUGGGUAACACUAACUGGAGGACCGAACCGACUAAUGUUGAAAAAUUAGCGGAUGACUUGUGGCUGGGGGUGAAAGGCCAAUCAAACCGGGAGAUAGCUGGUUCUCCCCGAAAGCUAUUUAGGUAGCGCCUCGUGAAUUCAUCUCCGGGGGUAGAGCACUGUUUCGGCAAGGGGGUCAUCCCGACUUACCAACCCGAUGCAAACUGCGAAUACCGGAGAAUGUUAUCACGGGAGACACACGGCGGGUGCUAACGUCCGUCGUGAAGAGGGAAACAACCCAGACCGCCAGCUAAGGUCCCAAAGUCAUGGUUAAGUGGGAAACGAUGUGGGAAGGCCCAGACAGCCAGGAUGUUGGCUUAGAAGCAGCCAUCAUUUAAAGAAAGCGUAAUAGCUCACUGGUCGAGUCGGCCUGCGCGGAAGAUGUAACGGGGCUAAACCAUGCACCGAAGCUGCGGCAGCGACACUGUGUGUUGUUGGGUAGGGGAGCGUUCUGUAAGCCUGUGAAGGUGUACUGUGAGGUAUGCUGGAGGUAUCAGAAGUGCGAAUGCUGACAUAAGUAACGAUAAAGCGGGUGAAAAGCCCGCUCGCCGGAAGACCAAGGGUUCCUGUCCAACGUUAAUCGGGGCAGGGUGAGUCGACCCCUAAGGCGAGGCCGAAAGGCGUAGUCGAUGGGAAACAGGUUAAUAUUCCUGUACUUGGUGUUACUGCGAAGGGGGGACGGAGAAGGCUAUGUUGGCCGGGCGACGGUUGUCCCGGUUUAAGCGUGUAGGCUGGUUUUCCAGGCAAAUCCGGAAAAUCAAGGCUGAGGCGUGAUGACGAGGCACUACGGUGCUGAAGCAACAAAUGCCCUGCUUCCAGGAAAAGCCUCUAAGCAUCAGGUAACAUCAAAUCGUACCCCAAACCGACACAGGUGGUCAGGUAGAGAAUACCAAGGCGCUUGAGAGAACUCGGGUGAAGGAACUAGGCAAAAUGGUGCCGUAACUUCGGGAGAAGGCACGCUGAUAUGUAGGUGAAGUCCCUCGCGGAUGGAGCUGAAAUCAGUCGAAGAUACCAGCUGGCUGCAACUGUUUAUUAAAAACACAGCACUGUGCAAACACGAAAGUGGACGUAUACGGUGUGACGCCUGCCCGGUGCCGGAAGGUUAAUUGAUGGGGUCAGCGCAAGCGAAGCUCUUGAUCGAAGCCCCGGUAAACGGCGGCCGUAACUAUAACGGUCCUAAGGUAGCGAAAUUCCUUGUCGGGUAAGUUCCGACCUGCACGAAUGGCGUAAUGAUGGCCAGGCUGUCUCCACCCGAGACUCAGUGAAAUUGAACUCGCUGUGAAGAUGCAGUGUACCCGCGGCAAGACGGAAAGACCCCGUGAACCUUUACUAUAGCUUGACACUGAACAUUGAGCCUUGAUGUGUAGGAUAGGUGGGAGGCUUUGAAGUGUGGACGCCAGUCUGCAUGGAGCCGACCUUGAAAUACCACCCUUUAAUGUUUGAUGUUCUAACGUGGACCCGUGAUCCGGGUUGCGGACAGUGUCUGGUGGGUAGUUUGACUGGGGCGGUCUCCUCCUAAAGAGUAACGGAGGAGCACGAAGGUUGGCUAAUCCUGGUCGGACAUCAGGAGGUUAGUGCAAUGGCAUAAGCCAGCUUGACUGCGAGCGUGACGGCGCGAGCAGGUGCGAAAGCAGGUCAUAGUGAUCCGGUGGUUCUGAAUGGAAGGGCCAUCGCUCAACGGAUAAAAGGUACUCCGGGGAUAACAGGCUGAUACCGCCCAAGAGUUCAUAUCGACGGCGGUGUUUGGCACCUCGAUGUCGGCUCAUCACAUCCUGGGGCUGAAGUAGGUCCCAAGGGUAUGGCUGUUCGCCAUUUAAAGUGGUACGCGAGCUGGGUUUAGAACGUCGUGAGACAGUUCGGUCCCUAUCUGCCGUGGGCGCUGGAGAACUGAGGGGGGCUGCUCCUAGUACGAGAGGACCGGAGUGGACGCAUCACUGGUGUUCGGGUUGUCAUGCCAAUGGCACUGCCCGGUAGCUAAAUGCGGAAGAGAUAAGUGCUGAAAGCAUCUAAGCACGAAACUUGCCCCGAGAUGAGUUCUCCCUGACCCUUUAAGGGUCCUGAAGGAACGUUGAAGACGACGACGUUGAUAGGCCGGGUGUGUAAGCGCAGCGAUGCGUUGAGCUAACCGGUACUAAUGAACCGUGAGGCUUAACCU
rnacentral:rRNA from 1 species